UACGUAGGGGGCAAGCGUUGUCCGGAAUCAUUGGGCGUAAAGAGCGUGUAGGCGGCUCGAUAAGUCUGCUGUGAAAGUCCAGGGCUCAACCCUGGAAGGCCGGUGGAAACUGUCGGGCUAGAGUCCGGAAGGGGCGAGUGGAAUUCCCGGUGUAGCGGUGAAAUGCGCAGAUAUCGGGAGGAACACCAAUGGCGAAGGCAGCUCGCUGGGACGGUACUGACGCUGAGACGCGAAAGCGUGGGGAGCAAACAGGG
rnacentral:rRNA from 1 species